ensembl:lncRNA
CAGAGAUAAGAUUCAGUGUUUUGCAAGAAUGAAUGGUGGAGAAAGAAGCUGCGGGAUAUAAUGGAUCUAACUGGCCAGAGCGAGGGUGGUGAUGUUUAUUUUGGCAUGGCUUUUUUUCUCUCGCUCCCUUUCAUUUUUUUUGUCUUUUUUAAUCUUUCGUUCUCGGUUUUAUCUUUCUGAAGAAUUUUCACACUUUCACAUGUCUGCCUUUUCAUUCCUCUCUCAAAGCUGCCAGUCUCCGAGUACAGAGAGCCAGCUAUCGCCUCUCAAGUAUGCUUUCAGGGACCCGCAUGGGUGUUUUCAUUCAUCUUUUAUUUUUCCUUUGUCAGAUUUGGUGCUGUUAAAUGAUACAGUCUGUUUCUUAUAGAGAGAAAAUCAGAAAUAUAUCGAGGUCCUAAUUAGCUAGCUUGUUUCCCCUCUUCAGUUAGGCCCUUAGAAUAUUUACUGCUCUGUUUAUGGAUAAAAAUGGAUCCAAAAUUAUGAGAGUAAACAUUACUUGUGAUCACAAACUCUAAAUUACUGUACAAUUUCAGUCUAACCAUGUUGUGUAAAUAUUGAAUAUUCUGUGGCCUUAAGAGCACAGAAUAUUAUAAAUGUAUUCAUUAAAUUACAGGCAGAUUUUAAGAAAUGCAACCAUAUUUCCAUUAAACAAUCGAAUGGAAAAGACACCUAUAGUAUAUUGUGCCAGUGCCACGUGCAGAGACCCGGUAUAGUGGGCCUGAUAAUACCUGAGGUGUUGAUCAUACCAUGUUCGUGCCAAGUGAAACUGACAGGAGGCGACGGUAAUCCCUGCUCGUCCUGCUGCAGAUUUCAAAUUUAAUCUCAGAUUAAUGUCCAGGAAAUGUCCUCGCGAGGCGAUCGCACACCAGGGCAGAUGUUGCAGCGUGUUAAAUCAUGCGUUGGCACUAGCACACAGAUAAACGAGCGCUCACGUUCACCAGCUGUUUUUUUUUUCUUUUCUUUUUUUAAACUGGACACCUGAGAGUAAAAAAAAAAAAUCAAUGUCCAAGUUCUAACAUAUAUAUUUAUUUAUUUAUUUUCCUGAAGUAGAAAGGAUCUCGGAAUCUUUUCCUUAGCCAGAUAUGCUAGAAUUUGGGUUAAUUCAAUGGUCGGUGUCAUGUCUCUAUGUAGGCAGGCAGGAAGAGGGGACCCAAAAUGCAGGACUCACGGAGGUGGAAGAAACUCAAUAUACACAGCUUUUUUGCUGGGAUGAAGCAGAACAGAAAAACACUAACUAAACUGGGAGUACAGAAUAACUAGACUGGUUGGCAGGCUAGCAAACAGAACACACAGAGGAAGUGAGGGUAAGACACGACACUGAGCAAAGGAAAAC